UACGGGGGGAGCAAGCGUUGUUCGGAUUUACUGGGCGUAAAGGGCGCGUAGGCGGUCAGCACAAGUCAGUUGUGAAAUCUCCGAGCUUAACUCGGAAAGGUCAACUGAUACUGUGCGACUAGAGUGCAGAAGGGGCAACUGGAAUUCUUGGUGUAGCGGUGAAAUGCGUAGAUAUCAAGAGGAACACCUGCGGCGAAGGCGGCAUCCUGGACCAAUUCUGACACUGAGGAGCGAAAGCCAGGGGAGCAAACGGG
rnacentral:rRNA from 1 species